rnacentral:rRNA from 1 species
CCCUGCCCUUUGUACACACCGCCCGUCGCUACUACCGAUUGAAUGGCUUAGUGAGGCCCUCGGAUCGAUGUUCGGAGACUGGCAACAGUUUCCGAUCGUUGAGAAGUUGGUCAAACUUGGUCAUUUAGAGGAAGUAAAAGUCGUAACAAGG